rnacentral:rRNA from 1 species
CUUGACCGCUGGCGGCAGGCCUAACACAUGCAAGUCGAGCGAGCGGCUGCCGGGUGAGUAAUGUAUGGGGACUGCCCGCAAGAGGGGGAUAAAUACUGGAAACGGUGGCUAAUACCGCAUUCUAUCGGAUACCCCAUAUGGGAUUGGCUAUUAGGUGGGGUAACGGCUGACCUAGGCGACGAUCUCUAGCUGGUCUGAGAGGAUGAUCAGCCAGUCAGAGACUGAGAGAGGGCCCAGGUCCCGAGGGAGUGAGCAGUGGGGAAGAGUGCACGAUGGGCGAAAGCGUGAUGCAGCGAUGACGAGAGUAUUAAGAAGGCCGUAGGGUUGUAAAGUACUUUCAGCGGGGAUGCGUUACCCGCAGAAGAAGUACCGGCUAAGUCCGUGCCAGCAGCCGCGGUAAUAC